rnacentral:rRNA from 1 species
UACGGAGGAUCCAAGCGUUAUCCGGAUUCAUUGGGUUUAAAGGGUGCGUAGGCGGACUGAUAAGUCAGCGGUGAAAUCCCACGGCUCAACUGUGGAACUGCCGUUGAUACUGUUAGUCUUGAAUGCAGAUGAUGUGGGCGGAAUAUGACAUGUAGUGGUGAAAUACUUAGAUAUGUCAUAGAACACCGAUUGCGAAGGCAGCUCACAAAA